rnacentral:ncRNA from 1 species
UGUAGUGGUUCUGGGAGUGGGACAGAAAUGAUAUUUUCACAAAAUUUAUUUCGUCGUCCCACCCCAACUUGCAUUGUCUCUAGAAAUUGGGAAUCCAAUUUCUCUUUGUUGGGUCCCUGAAUAUAGCCUUGUAGAGUCUAGUACAUUGAUUUGUAUCCCAAUGUCCCUAUAAUUGAUUAUUCGCUUUAUCUAAUGAU